rnacentral:rRNA from 1 species
AUUGAACGCUGGCGGCAGGCUUAACACAUGCAGGUCGAGCGGAGAUGAGGUGCUUGCACCUUAUCUUAGCGGCGGACGGGUGAGUAAUGCUUAGGAAUCUGCCUAUUAGUGGGGGACAACAUUCCGAAAGGAAUGCUAAUACCGCAUACGCCCUACGGGGGAAAGCAGGGGAUCAUCGGACCUUGCGCUAAUAGAUGAGCAUAAGUCGGAUUAGCUAGUUGGUGGGGUAAAGGCCUACCAAGGCGACGAUCUGUAGCGGGUCUGAGAGGAUGAUCCGCCACACUGGGACUGAGACACGGCCCAGACUCCUACGGGAGGCAGCAGUGGGGAAUAUUGGACAAUGGGCGGAAGCCUGAUCCAGCCAUGCCGCGUGUGUGAAGAAGGCCUUUUGGUUGUAAAGCACUUUAAGCGAGGAGGAGGCUACCUGGAUUAAUACUCUAGGAUAGUGGACGUUACUCGCAGAAUAAGCACCGGCUAACUCUGUGCCAGCCGCCGCAGUAACAC